UCAAAAGAAAGAAGCUGGAGAGAAAAUAUUGCAAAUAACCUAAUUCCAGGGAAACAGUUGAACUAUAUGGAAGAAGCUGCAAUGCCAAGUGGCUCCAAAAAAUCUGGGGUAACCAUUGACAACAAUAAAAAAGAAAGGACAAAAAAGAAAGAAAGAAGAAAGAAAGAAUAUUAAUCCUGGGAAGGGUGAUCUGGAUUGUGGAAUUUGGAGAAUAGAAAUUCAAAUUUGCAUGUGCCAAUUUAGAUGCAAAUCAUUCUUAUCUCACAUCAAGCGUGAUGCCCUAUCUGUGGGAGGUCUCUUCAGAUGAAGAAGGGCAAGAGGAGAGCCAGGAUGACCCGGGACCCUGGUGGAGAGAAGAGAGGCUGGUAGCCCUGCCAUGGCUACAGCAGGGGAAGA